rnacentral:lncRNA from 1 species
CUCCUGACCUCAGGUGAUCUACCUGCCUCAGCCUCCCAAAGUGCUGGGAUUACAGGCGUGAGCCACUGUGCCUGGCCAGAUGUUGUUAUUUAAUGUGUUAAAGAAAGAACAUGGCCGGGCACGGUGGCUCAUGCCUGUAAUCCCAGCACUUUGGGAGGCUGAGGCAGCGAAUCAAGAGGUCAAGAAAUCAAGACCAGCCUGGCCAACAUGGUGAAACCCCGUCUCUACUUAAAAUACAAAAAUUAGCUGGGCGUGGUGGCACACGCCUGUAGUCCCAGCUAGUUGGGAGGCUGAGGCAGGAGAAUCGCUUGAACCUGGGAGGCGAAGGUUGCAAUGAGCCUCAAUCGCACCACUGCACUCCAGCCUGGCAACAGAGUAAGACUCCAUCUCAAAAAUAAAUAAAUAAAAAUAAAAAGGAGUGUCCUAAAGGAGCUGAUGUGGUCUGGCCCUGAUCCUUCUCCCAGCUGACAUCCAGCCCACAAGGAGAAGCUGGAGGGAGAGGCCAGAAGAGCAAUGAGAAUGAGGUUUCUGUCGCAGACACUGGGACCCACACUUGCAUUCCGCCUGGCUUCUGUCUUGUUUAUUAAAUUAUGACAUCUGCAGCAGCUUUGAGCACAGAGUCCCAGCACAGAAAACAGGUCCCCUCCGUUCAGAAGCCCUUUCUCAGAACAACACUCAGAAGAGAGCUCAGCUCUCCCUCUGUCUUCUUUAUUUUUUAAUUAAUUUCAUUUUUAUUUUUUAUCUAAAGGAUUACAUGAUCAUCAUCUCCCUCUGUCUUCUAUCUGGGCAGCACGAGAGUGGGUCCCACUCUACAGGGCACCCUCUGCUGAAAAUCAAAACUUGCUCACCCCAAAUGCCCUUCAAGGCUGAACUAAGACAAACUCUCCCCCUGUGAAUCUGGAACGAGACAAGCGGAGGAAAAAAAAUUUAUUUUUAUAAAGAUCCUCAAAUUUGUCAUAGAAAGCAACCCAUCUGAAGUCACAAAUUGUGGUGACGUGGGCUUCGUUUUGAGAGGUUGAGUACAGCAUGGUGUUCUGGUUUAGGAGAGAGCCACGUUCAAAGUCUGAUUCUUAUACACCCCAAAUGCACUCAUGGAGAGGUAAAAGUGAACAAUGUGGAAGGAAACACUGUCACUAGAAUCCCUUCUGCAGCUUCAGUGUGGAAGGCUGCAGCGGCGAGCAUCAAACAAGGCAGCUUCUUGGCGUCUGGGCCUGUGAGUCACCGCGCUCACAUGGGUUCACUUAGCAUCUCUAAUUUGGGAGCAGAGCAGCAGAAGAGGCCCAAAUUAACUUGAGUUUUGUCCUUCCCCUUUUACUUGGAGUUCUGUGGGCCUGAAUGCUUGGUGUCAUCUACUGUAAGGCUCAGGACACCUGGGGCCAUCGUCUUCACACUGAUCACGGCAAGGAUCUGCCCAAGAUAUUUGGGAGAGGAAGCUGUCAGGGGCGUAGGGGGAAAACAGGCUCAAAGAAAGGACUCACUUUUAUAUUGGAUUAUUGAUCAAAGAGAUCGCCGAACACACAGAGGACAAGGAAGAAAUGCCAAAGAGUUGAGAUGACAUUGCAAUGUAAAAGUUUCUUUUAAGAUAAAAAUAGGUGGCUGUGCAUAGAAUAUUCCAGGAAGGCUGUAUGAGAAAGUGCUAACAGUGGGUGCCCCAGCAAAGGAAGGGCCUAGGGAUGCAGCACAGGUGUAGGAAGGAACCUGACUUUUCCCUGUUACACACUUUUUUUUUUUUUUCAGACAAAGUCUCGCUCUGUCACCCAGGCUGGAGUGCAGGGGUGUGGUCUCGGCUCACUGCAACCUCCACCUCCCAGGUUCAAGCGAUCCUCCCAACUCAGCCUCCCAAGUAGCUGGGAUUACAGGCGCACACCACCAUACCUAGCUAAUCUUUGUAUUUUUAGUAGAGACAGGGUUUCACCAUGUUGGCCAGCUGGUGUUGACCUCCUGACCUAAAGUGAUCCGCCUGCCUCGGCCUCCCAAAGUGCUGGGAUUACAGGUGAGAGCCACCAUGCCCGGCCCUUUUCUUUGCAGGGGGCGGGGAAAGGGUCUCACUCUGUCACCCAGACUGGAGUGCAAUGGCAUGAUCACAGCUCACUGCAGCCUCAACCUCCCGGGUUCAGGUGAUCCUCCCACCUCAGCCUCCCCAUGGUGUACAUGCCACCAUACCAGGCUAAUUGUAAUUUUUAUAGAGACAGGGUCUCCCUCUUGCCCAGGCUGGUCUUGAACUCCUGGGCUCCAGCAAUGAGCCUGCUUCAGGCUCCCAAAGUGUUAGGAUUAUAGCGUGAGCCACUAUGCUGGCUAUCAACUUUUUAUAACUUUGAGUUUUGUACUAUGUGUAGUAUUGAUUUAAAAAUAUUUUUUCUGCUCUCGCUCUCGCUCUCGCUCUCCCUCUCCCUCUCUUUCCACGGUCUCCCUCUGAUGCCGAGCGGAAGCUGGACUGUACUGCUGCCAUCUAGGCUCACUGCAACCUCCCUGCCUGAUUCUCCUGCCUCAGCCUGCCGAGUGCCUGCAAUUGCAGGCGCGCGCAGCCACGCCUGACUGGUUUUCGUAUUUUUUUGGUGGAGACGGGGUUUCACUGUGUUGGCCGGGCUGGUUUCCAUCUCCUAACCGCGAGUGAUCCGCCAGCCUCGGCCUCCGGAGGUGCCGGGAUUGCAGACGGUGUCUGGUUCACUCAGUGCUCAAUGGUGCCCAGGCUGGAGUGCAGUGGCGUGAUCUCGGCUCGCUACAACCUCCACCUCCCAGCCGCCUGCCUUGGCCUCCCAAAGUGCCGAGAGUGCAGCCUCUGCCCGGCCGCCACCCCGUCUGGGAAGUGAGGAGCGUCUCUGCCUGGCCGCCCAUCGUCUGGGACGUGAGGAGGCCCUCUGCCUGGCUGCCCAGUCUGGAAAGUGAGGAGCGUCUCUGCCCGGCCGCCAUCCCAUCUAGGAAGUGAGGAGCGCCUCUUCCCGGCCGCCAUCCCAUCUAGGAAGUGAGGAGUGGCUCUGCCCGGCCGCCCAUUAUCUGAGAUGUGCAGAGCGCCUCUGCCCCGCCGCCCCGCCCCGUCUGGGAUGUGAGGAGCGCCUCUGCCCGGCCACAACCCCGUCUGGGAGGUGAGGAGCGUCUCUGCCCAGCCGCCCCGUCUGAGAAGUGAGGAGACCCUCUGCCUGGCAACCGCCCCGUCUGAGAAGUGCUGUGUCCACUCAGGAUUAAAUGGGUCGGUGCAAGAUGUGCUUUGUUAAACAGAUGCUUGAAGGCAGCAUGCUCGUUAAGAGUCAUCACCACUCCCUAAUCUCAAGUACCCAGGGACACAAACACUGCGGAAGGCCGCAGGGUCCUCUGCCUAGGAAAACCAGAGACCUUUGUUCACUUGUUUAUCUGCUGACCUUCCCUCCACUAUUGUCCUAUGACCCUGCUAAAUCCCCCUCUGCGAGAAACACCCAAGAAUGAUCAAUAAAAAAAAA